rnacentral:rRNA from 1 species
GACGGAGGGUGCUAGCGUUGUUCGGAAUCACUGGGCGUAAAGGGCGCGUAGGCGGCCUUGCAAGUCGGUCGGGGAAAGCCCGGGGCUCAACCCCGGAGGUGCGGCCGAGACUGCAGGGCUGGAGGCCGGAAGAGGAGGGUGGAAUACCCAGUGUAGAGGUGAAAUUCGUAGAUAUUGGGUGGAACACCGGUGGCGAAAGCGGCUCUCUGGUCCGGACCUGACGCUGAGGCGCGAAAGCGUGGGGAGCAAACAGG